CUCACAGACACAUCGAGGAGCCAGGGCUCCCUGGCUGGGUCACCGCCCUCCUUAGGCACCUCUGACUCAGCUGUGCCCCAUAACAUCUUCCUGUGACCAAAGGGCUCCCCAGAGGCAGGUCACCUGUACCCUAAGAGGAAACAGCAGAAUGUCGUCGUCCGCAGCAAGGGAUCCCACUCGGCCCCUGGAAGUGGACCUCCGUGGAUGGCCUGCCCUGACAGGGAAGGGCGUGAGGGGAAACGACAUGGCCCAGAGCAAGCCACGUGAGAAAAAUUACAAUAAAGGAAAAGUAUGGGACAUCCACCGGGGACAGGGAGCAAGCAACAUGGGGCCACUGAGGGAAGCAGGUGACAAGGUGGGAGCCAAGGGACAGGGGUCGUGGGGUCUGAAUUUUCCUCAGCAAGCAAGUGGGAGCCCGCGAUGGUUGUAGAGCAGGAGAACAGUAGGUCUGGACUCAUAGAGCAGCUUGUGGCUCAGGGGAGGUGGGAGGGUUAGCUGGUUCCCCAGAGCUUGUGUGGGUGAUUAGGGGGAGGGAACUGAGGCAGCAGACCAGAAGUGCUCCUGCACAUUCCCCUGCCUGCCUGCGUUUUUUCCCUCCUUCCUCUCCCUCCCUCCCAACCAUGCUGAGCACGCAGGAACCUGCUGGGUGCUGGGAGGACACCAUGGCCCCUCGAGAAGGCUGCCUGAGGCUCCAGGCAGACAGAGUGCAGACCCGGCAGCUGCAGCCUCAGCUGUGAGGAGCAGCAAAGGCACCUGAAACCAGGCCGCCCACAGGAUGUUGGAAACCGCAGGGCCCGCCCUAAGACGCAGCUCACAAACCCCAGUUCUGGGAGGCUGUCCCUGACACGGCCCUUCAGGCCACCGGAGCUCGACCCCACACCAGGCCAGGAUAGGCCAGUGUCUGUCUCCUCUACCGGACUAGACGCAUUGGUAAAGGCACGUGGUGACUCGGUGAGUUGUGGGGUGGGCUGGGCGGUGGCGGGGGUCUGAGUCUGCUUUUCUAGCAACCCCCAG